rnacentral:rRNA from 1 species
GAUGAACGCUGGCGGCGUGCCUAAUACAUUCAAGUCGAGCGAACAGAUAAGGAGCUUGCUCCUUUGACGUUAGCGGCGGACGGGUGAGUAACACGUGGGUAACCUACCUAUAAGACUGGAAUAACUCCGGGAAACCGGGGCUAAUGCCGGAUAACAUUUAGAACCGCAUGGUUCUAAAGUGAAAGAUGGUUUUGCUAUCACUUAUAGAUGGACCCGCGCCGUAUUAGCUAGUUGGUAAGGUAACGGCUUACCAAGGCAACGAUACGUAGCCGACCUGAGAGGGUGAUCGGCCACACUGGAACUGAGACACGGUCCAGACUCCUACGGGAGGCAGCAGUAGGGAAUCUUCCGCAAUGGGCGAAAGCCUGACGGAGCAACGCCGCGUGAUUGAUGAAGGUCUUCGGAUCGUAAAACUCUGUUAUUAGGGAAGAACAAAUGUGUAAGUAACUGUGCACGUCUUGACGGUACCUAAUCAGAAAGCCACGGCUAACUACGUG